AUCACGCCCCCUCUGAGAGGAUACAACUGGAAUAGAAAUGUCUCAGACCUUGCAGAGGGAGAUUCUGGGCCAUGGACAUUGCUGGUCGGAUACUUUCAAACUCGGAGAAGGCCGGGUUAGUGUAGAGUUUGAUAGAGAAGAGAGGAAGUUUUAAAAAUUAAUUCAACAGCAAUAUUUUUAAAUUCACUGUGUGAUCUGAGAACAUUCAGUGUGACAGAAUAAGGAAGUUGGCAGGGGAUACUGGCAGGAAACUCACGCAUGGAACAAAGAAUCAGCAGAUAAAAAUACCAUCGAGCAGAGGAGAGUUCGUAAGGGACAGCGCAGAAAGGGGCCGGGGAGAGAGAGUGCAGCAACGGCUCUGGGGUUACCUCAGCCAAUGAGCUGCAAGAACUAAGAGCACCGGCUGUUUUAGCAGCAGAUCUGACACCUCCUCAAUUAGGGCCCCUGACAGCGCUGCCAGGGAAAGGUUCUUGAAGGAACAUGAGAACCCAACUGGAAAGGCUCUCUCUGCUUUGGGCGCUUCUCCUGUCUCCGUGGCUGGGAGCCGCAGAAAAUACUGCUGCUGUCUUUGUGGUGAAUCAGACACCCCCUUCUAUCCGUGCAAUGGAAGGGUCAGAGUUCACCAUCGAGUGUACAUUCAACACAAGCAAUAAUUCAACCAAGUGGUUUGCUGCAUGGUAUAAAACCAGAAACAAUGUAACAGAAAAGUUAUCCAAUGGAACAGA